GACAGAGGUGCCAAGCGUUAGGCGGAAUCACUGGGCUUAAAGCGUGUGUAGGCGGAUCGUUAAGUACCUUGUGAAAUCCCACGGCUCAACCGUGGAACUGCUGGGUAUACUGGCGAUCUUGAGCCACCUAGGGGCGAGCGGAACAAGCGGUGGAGCGGUGAAAUGCGUAGAUAUCGCUUGGAACGCCAACGGUGAAAACAGGUUGCUGGGGGUGUGCUGACGCUGAGACACGAAAGCCAGGGGAGCGAACGGG
rnacentral:rRNA from 1 species